rnacentral:ncRNA from 1 species
UCAGCGGCUCGUUUGAGAGACACCCAAGUAGCACGGGGCCCGAGAAAUCCCGUGUGAAUCUGGCGGGACCACCCGCUAAGCCUAAAUAUUCCCUGGUGACCGAUAGCGGAUAGUACCGUGAGGGAAUGGUGAAAAGUACCGCGGGAGCGGAGUGAAAUAGUACCUGAAACCGUGUGCCUACAAGCCGUGGGAGCGUCGGAUGGAAGCUUGCUUCCAUCUCGUGACUGCGUGCCUUUUGAAGAAUGAGCCUGCGAGUUUGCGGUGUGUUGCGAGGUUAACCCGGGUGGGAAGCCGUAGCGAAAGCGAGUCCGAAUAGGGCGUUUCAGUAGCACGCUCAACGACCCGAAGCGGAGUGAUCUAGCCAUGGGCAGGUUCGAAGCGGAGGUAAGACUUCGUGGAGGACCGAACCCACCAGGGUUGAAAACCUGGGGGAUGACCUGUGGUUAGGGGUGAAAGGCCAAUCAAACUCCGUGAUAGCUGGUUCUCCCCGAAAUGCAGUUAGGUGCAGCGUCGUGUGUUUCUUGCCCGGAGGUAGAGCACUGGAUAGGCGAUGGGCCCUACC